rnacentral:lncRNA from 1 species
UUUUUUUUUUUUUUUUUUUUUUUGUCUUUUUUAGAGCUGCACCUGCAGCAUGUGGAAGUUCCCAGGCAAGGGGUCGAUUGGGAGCUGCAGCUGCCGGUCUACACCACAGCCACAGCUACCACAGCUCAUGGUAAUGCCAGAUUCUUAACCCACUGAACAAGGCCAAAGAUCGAACCUGCAUCCUCAUGGAUACCAGGUGGAUUUGUUUCCACUGAGCCACAACGGGAACUCCUGAUUUAAUCUUUUAGGUAUUUUUCUUAUUUUGUUAUGACAACUUUCAAACAUACAGCAAAGUGCAGAAGGAGAUGCAAUGGCUGGAUACCUGCCUCCCCAAACCUGGAUUUAACCCCUGGGGUAUCUGAUCACCAGGACGGCAGGAACUCUUUGAGUCCUAUUCACUGGUCGAUCCCCAGCAGUUUAAGUGCACCAUGAGUUUGUCGUAUGAGUGAGUAAUUUUAGCCACUCCUACCAUUUUAUGAGAGAAAAUGGGCUAACAUCUACCACCUUGGCCAUGGGUUCCCAUCCUGCUUCUGCCACACAUUCGCUCUGUGACCUGCGGUGAGUCCCUACCUCUCUGUGCCAAGGGCCCCAUAAUCUUUGCCUAAACUGAUUAUUCCAUGAGAUAUUGAAAAAUGGUCGUUUUCCAAUUCUAACAAUCCUUCCCCAUUUAUUAGCUAAGAUUCUCCUCUUAAGAACUCUCAUCGACAAAGCUAAAUAAUUUUUUUUUUUUUUGCUUUGCUUUUUAGGGCCGCAUCCACAGCAUGUGCAAGUUCCCCAGCGAGGGGUCGAAUCGGAGCUGCAGCUCCCGGCUGUACAGCAACAUCACAGCCACAGCAAUGCAAGAUCCAAGCCACAUCUGCAACCUACACCACAGCUCACGGCAACACCAGAUCCUCAACCCACUGAGCGAGGCCAGAGAUUGAACCUGCAUCCUCAUGGAUGCUAGCCGGACUCAUUAACCACUGAGCCAUGACGGGAACUCCAGGGCCAGUUUCUAUCACCAGAUUAUUUCUGCCCGUUGUUAAAUUUCAUACAAAAUAGAAUCGGCAUGGAGUCUUGGUCAGUAUAAUAUUUUUGAGAUUCACCUAUGUUACUCUAUGUAUCAGUAGAUUUUUUUUUUAAUUGCCGGGAGGUAUUCCAUUCACCGGUUGACAGAUUGACUGAACUGUUUCCAGGUCAGGGCUGGUAUGAAUGAAACUGAUACAACAUUCUUACAUGCAUCUUCUGUGAACAUAUGUUUUCAUUUCUCUUGGGGAUAGACCAAGAGUGGAAUUACUGGGUCACACAGCAAGUUCGUAUUUAACUUCAUGAUAAAUUGCCAAGGGUGCCCAUCCCCUUUUACCUUCCUACCAGUAAUGUCAGAGCCGUCCAGUUCCACCUCCACGCAAACACUUGGUACUGGCAGAUUUUCCUCUUCCUUUUUAACUAUUCUAAAGGCUGGGUAGUGUACCCCCUGAGGUUUCAAAUGGUGGUUUAAAUGAUAACUAGAGAUGCUGGAUCUUUUUCACGGGCUUGUUGCCUUUCCACGUGUAUUCUUGGAUGUAUCCAUUCUUUUGCCCAUGUUUUUAUUGUUGUUUCGUUUGUUUUUAUUGAGCUUGAGAAUUUUCUCUGUAUUCUGAACAUGAGCCAUUUGUCAGGUAUGUGAUUUGCGAGUAGCUUCUUCCAGUCUGUGGCUGGUCUUUUCUUUCUUUUAAAAGUCUUUCCCAGAACAGAAAUUUUUAAUUCAAUGACGCAAAACUUUCUCCUGUUUUCUUCUCAGACUUUAAGAGAACAGCCUCAAGCUAGAUGUGGUUAUUUAAAAUUAAAUAAAUUUUAAAAUUCUUUGGACUGCAAAGAUAUUGAAUGUACACCCAUUGCGGAUGGGUGUGUUUCGUUGAACAGCAUUGUUUUAGAAAUUCUAAAGUUUUAGCUUUCACAUUUAGAAAUUGUAAGGAGCAAAGUAAGGCUCAGGUUGGUUUUGUUUACCUGUUUUUGUUUUGUGCUGUGUCAAGCUGACCUAUCAAGCUGACCAGGCCUGGAGUUUUAUAGCAAGGCUUUUAACGACAAAUUCAAUUUCUUUAAUAGGUAUACAACUAUUAAGGCUAUUUCUUCCCAAGUGAACUAAAGUAGUUUGUGUCCUUCAAGGAAUGUCCAUUUUCAUCCAAACUGUCAAAUCUAGAGGCAUAAAAUUGCUGGUAGUAUUUCCUCAUGAUCUUUCAACGAUGGUGGUGUCUGUAGCAAUUCCUCUUUCACAUUCAUAGUCCUGGUAAUUUGUGCCUUUUUUAUUAUUGCUCCAUUUGACUUUUAAUUUUAUCAAUUUUAUUGAUUCUUUAAGUUAAAACGUCUUUUGGCUUUAUUGCUUUUCUCUAUUACUGUUUCUAUUUCCUAUUUUUUUCUAUUUUAUUAUUUUAUAUUUUUAUUGCUUUCUUUCACCUAAUGUUUUCCAUUUUACUCUUUUUUUCUAUUUUCUUAGGUUACGGAUGUGAGGUCUUUCAUUUUCUAGCAUAUUAACUACAUGCUUAAUUAAUUAAUGUUUAAUAUUCAAUCAAUUAAUUUUAGUGCUUGAACUUUCUCUGUAAACUCUGCAUUAGCUGCCUCCCACAAAUCUUGAUAUGUUAUUUUCUUAUUUUCACUCAAUUCACAUUUUUUUCUAACUUCUCUUUUGGCUUUCUCCUCACCCCAAAAGUUGUUUAUAAAUGUGAUGCUUAAUUCCCAUUAUUGAUUUCUAGCUUAAAUCUUUAAGAUCUGAGAGCAUUUCUAUUAUUUCAAUUCUUUGAAAUCUGUUAACAUUUUUCAUUAAAUAGUUUUUAUCUUGAUUAAGGUUCAGGUGCACUUCAGAAGAAGGUGAAUUCUACUGUUUUUGAGUAGACUGUUCUAUAAAUGCCCAUUAGGUGACAUGGGUUGGAAGUGUUGCUAGGUCUCCUAUAUCCUUAAUGAUUUUCUGUUUGUUCUAUUGAUUACUAAGAGAAUUGAAGUCCCCAGAUAUGAUUGUGGAUGUAUUAGCUUCUCCUUUAGUUUCAUGUUUUGUUUCAUGUAUUUUGAACCUCUGUUUCCAUGUGAAUAAUUACUUAAGAGUAUUAGGUCUUCUUGGUGAAUAUACCCCUUUAUAAUUAUGCACUGUACGUCUUUAUUCCUGGAAGGAUUCCCUGUUGUGAAGUUUCCUUUGCCAGGGAGUAGUAGAGCCACUCCAAGCUUUCUUUUUAUUGUUUUUUGCAUGAAAUAUAUUUUUCUAUCCUUGUACUUUGGCCUAUUUAUAUCUGUAUAUUGAAAGUGGAUUUCUUGUGCAUAAUAUAUAGUUGGGUAUUAUACUUUUAUCCAAACUGACAAUCUCUGCCUUUCACUUAGAAUCUUAAGCAUUUACAUUUAAUGUGAUUAUUGAUAUGGCUAAAUUUAGGUCAACCAUGUUAUUACUUAUUUUUUGUUUGCCUUCUCUGUUUCUCAUUCAUGUCUCAUUUCCUGCCUUCUUUUGGACUAUUUUAACAUUUCAUAGUAUUUCAUUUUAGUUUCUCUAUUGGAUUUCUGUCCUUAUCGCUUUAUAAUUUCUUAGUGCUUGUGCUAUGGAUUACAAUAUUUGUACCUAACUUAUCAUGGUCUAUUUAGAGUUAAUAUUUUGGGUCAGAGAUACUCUUCAUCUUUGCCAGUCCUUGGUAUGGAGAGUCUUUUUAAUUUUAGCUAGUCUGAUGGGUGUGUAGAGACUUUCAGUGUGUUUUUUUCCAUCUAAUGACAUUGAACAUCUUCUCAUGUACUGAUUUGCCAUUGAUAUGUCAUCUUCGGUGAAAUAUCAGUUCAAAUGUUUUGCUCAUUUUUUUAAUUGAGUUGUUUUCCUUAUUACUAUUGGGUCAUAAGAAUUGAUUAUCAAAGUUCCCAUCUUGGCUCAGUGGUUAACAAACCUGACUAGGAUCCAUGAGGAUGUGGAUUCAAUCCCUGACCUCACUCAGUGGGUUAAGGAUCCGUGUUGCCAUGAGCUGUGGUGUAGGUCACAGACACGGCUUGGAUCAGGCAUUGAUGCAGCUGUGACAUAGGCUGGCAGCUGUAGCUCCACUUAGACCCCUAGCCUGGGAACCUUCAUGUGUCACCAGUGUGGCACUAAAAAGAAAAAAAAAAUGAUUAUCUAUUUGGGAUACAGGAGCUUUAACAGAUGUAUGAUCAUAAUACCUUAUUAUCAAUAUAAUGUUUGUAACAACUACAGUCAUUCCCUUCCCCUUCUUCAAUCCUCAUAUUGGUAAUAUAUUUUCUCUCUUUUGUUCUUUAUCAGUUUUAUUAAGAGUCUAUCAGUUUUAUCUGUCCUCUAAAAUAACCCACUUUUGACUUUAUUCGUUUUCUCUAUUGUAUAUUUGCUUUGCAUUACAUUUAUUUAUGCUCUUGUCUAUUUCUUCUCUUCUAUUUUCUUUGGAGUUGGCUUGAUUUUUUUCUUACUUCUUGAAGUGAAGGCAUAGGUUAUUGAUUUUUCAGCAUAUCUAUAAGUAUGAUGAUGUGUCUUCCUUAUCAUUUAGUUAAAAAUAUUUGCUCAUUUCCAAAUUUCCGUUCUGAUUUCUUUUUGAACCACAGGUGUCUUAAAACUAUGUGCCUUAAUUACUAAGCAGUUGGAGAUCUUCUAGUUAUCUUGUUGUUAUGAUUUCUAGCUUAAUUGCCCUGUGGUCGGGGAACAUACCAGGAAUAUUUUCAAUCUUUUGAAAAUUGCUCAGGUUUGCCUAUGAGCUACUGUAUGGUCGGUUUUGGCAAACAUCCCUUGUUCAUUUAUUCAAGGGAAAAGAAAGCACAUUCUGUCUUUGUUGGGCACCGUGUUUUAUAAACGUCAAUUAGGUCAGUUUGAUUAAUCGUGUUGUUCGGAUCUUCUUUAUCCUGAUGGAUUAUUUUGUCUGCUUGUUCUUUCAGCUCCUGAGAAGUACGUCAUCAUGUCUCUCACCAGGAUGGACAUGCCUUUGUAACUUUUCCAUUUUUAUAGUUUCUCAGCGUGGGGUCUGCCCUUGAAGUAUAAACUUACAGUGCCAUCCUGACCAGGAAUCCACUCUUAUCUGCUUCAUAUACUGGAGUUGGUGAAAUGUUUCCUUUGGAAAAAAGUCCGACUGCUGAUAAAGAAAAAUGUUUGAAAAUUGGCAGAGAGGAUUUCGAGAGAGGAAACACUGAUAAUGGAGUUUCUCCAACCCAAUAACUAAGAAUAACGAAAAGCACUUCAUGUCUCCAUCUACCUGCCUUCUCCUGCCUGAAAUGCCAUUUCUGGGGAAACAUCCCUUUAAAAAACUAGGCCUUUGGGCUAGAAUGCUUCCCCCAGCUUCUGGAACUGGGAAUUAAAAAUGCAAAUGAGUCAUGCACUAUGUCGAUAUUCUCUCUUCAUCAACUGAAAUUGACAUAGGAAGGUCUGUUAUCUGCAAAAAGAGGAAUGGUUCCAGGGACCCAGAGCAGGGAAGGAAAAGCUGAUGAAGCAGAGGCAAAGGAACAUGAUAAAGCCCCUCCCUGACCCCAGGCUUUCCAAAAGCUGGCCAUGCAGGGUGGGAAAUCAGUGGGUCUCC